rnacentral:rRNA from 1 species
UACGAAGGGGGCUAGCGUUGUUCGGAUUUACUGGGCGUAAAGCGCACGUAGGCGGAUUGUUAAGUUGGAUGUCAAAUCUUUGAGCUCAACUCGAAAAAGGUGUCCAAAACUAGCAGACUAGAGACAGGUAGAGGUAAGUAGAAUUCUGUAUGUAGGGGUAAUACCCGUAGAUAUACAGAGGAAUACCAAAAGCGAAGGCAGCUUACUGGACCUGUUCUGACGCUCAAGAACGAAAGCGUGGGGAGCAAACAGG